rnacentral:lncRNA from 1 species
UGUAUUUUAAUAGGAACAUAUACAUGGGCAAAACAAAAAUGAUAAUCAGCAGAAGAAACUGCAGAAUGUUUUAUCUAUGGAGCCAAAAAAGAGAGUAGCAGACUAUACACAUAAAGCAUUUAUUAAAUCAAAGGAUUCUGCAAAUCAAAAAGAAAUUGAAAUGCCUUCAUCUGAAAGUCCUGCAUCUCUUGAGGCAAUGAGAUGUGCUGAAAGAAUAUCAGAGGGAGACUUUACUCCAGAGCACAUUUCUAGUGAAAGAUCACCUGGGCUUCAGGAGUCAACACCAGGAAAAAUGGAAACUUUAAACUUUGGGAAAGGAAUCUCUCCCAGCAACUUCUGUCCACCAAAAAAGAAUAUUCAAGCUAUUCAUCUAAAUCAGUCCCCUCGCGAUAUUGUUAAAAAGUUAACAUUUGGAAGUAAAAGUUUCUCAUCUGUUUUAACUGCCGCAUCUCUGCUCAGCUUAACUCCAGUAACCACAUAUAAAACUCUCAGUGGAAAACAUGCAGAGGGAUCUGUAUCUGAAACAUGUGAUGCUAAUGAAGAUUUGAGUCUUAGGCGCUGCUCUUCAGAGAAACUUUCUGUUGAAGGAAAACUGCAAGAUAUCACUAAACCUAUCAUCAAAAGCAAAGAAGAUUGUUUGCCACCAUCUCCGUUAUCCAUUUCCAGUGGAAGUAAAGUACAGUCCUGGUGUGAAGAACCUUGUGGCCCCAUACAUGAGUCUGGACCAACUAUACAAACUUUUCUUAAACGAAGGUACCACAGUGAUACAGAAAGCAAUUCUGAUGAAGCAGAAACAAACAAAGAGGAGGAAAAGAAAGGAAGCAGAACAACAAAGCUGCUGCCUAGAAAAUUAUUUAAACCAGAUGAUAAUACUACUUACAGAGGUUAGUUGUGGAGUUAAAGUUGAUAUUUAAGUAUAGUUGUGCAAAAGUUUAAAAUAACAAUUUAA